rnacentral:rRNA from 1 species
UGAGGAAUAUUGGUCAAUGGGCGUAAGCCUGAACCAGCCAAGUAGCGUGCAGGAUGACGGCCCUAUGGGUUGUAAACUGCUUUUAUGCGGGGAUAAAGUUGGGGACGUGUCCCUUUUUGCAGGUACCGCAUGAAUAAGGACCGGCUAAUUCCGUGCCAGCAGCCGCGGUAAUACGGAAGGUCCGGGCGUUAUCCGGAUUUAUUGGGUUUAAAGGGAGCGUAGGCAGUUUUUUAAGCAUGCUGUGAAAUGUACCGGCUCAACCGGUGAUGUGCAGCGCGAACUGGGAAUCUUGAGUACGCAGUAAGCAGGCGGAAUUCGUGGUGUAGCGGUGAAAUGCUUAGAUAUCACGAAGAACUCCGAUUGCGUAGGCAGCUUGCUGUAGCGUAACUGACGCUGAAGCUCGAAAGUGCGGGUAUCGAACAGGAUUAGAUACCCUGGUAGUCCGCACGGUAAACGAUGGAUGCCCGCUGUCGGCCUUUUUUGGUCGGUGGCCAAGCGAAAGCGUUAAGCAUCCCACCUGGGGAGUACGCCGGCAACGGUG